UACGGAGGGUGCGAGCGUUGUCCGGAAUCAUUGGGCGUAAAGGGCGCGUAGGUGGCGGGACAAGCGUGCGGUGAAAGCCUGGGGCUCAACCCCGGGUCGGCCGUGCGAACUGUUUUUUGCUUGAGCACUGUAGAGGCAGGCGGAAUUCCUGGUGUAGCGGUGAAAUGCGCAGAUAUCAGGAGGAACACCGGUGGCGAAGGCGGGUCUCUGGGCCGAUACUGACGCUGAGGAGCGAAAGCGUGGGGGAGCGAACAGG
rnacentral:rRNA from 1 species